GAUGAACGCUGGCGGUAUGCUUAACACAUGCAAGUCGAACGAUUUCUAUCGAGCUUGCUCGGUUGAAAUAGUGGCGGACGGGUGAGUAACGCGUAAGAAUCUACCCUUAGGCGGGGGAUAACAACUGGAAACGGUUGCUAAUACCCCACUAAGCUGAUAAGUAAAAGAAAUUUUUCUACCUAGGGAUGAGCUUGCGUCUGAUUAGCUUGUUGGUGGGGUAAUGGCCUACCAAGGCAACGAUCAGUAGCUGGUUUGAGAGGAUGAUCAGCCACACUGGGACUGAGAUACGGCCCAGACUCCUACGGGAGGCAGCAGUGGGGAAUUUUCCGCAAUGGGCGAAAGCCUGACGGAGCAAUACCGCGUGGAGGAUGAAGGCC
rnacentral:rRNA from 1 species